rnacentral:rRNA from 1 species
GUGCCUAGCAGCCGCGGUAAUACGGAGGAUGCGAGCGUUAUCCGGAUUUAUUGGGUUUAAAGGGUGCGCAGGCGGCGUGUCAAGUCAGCGGUCAAACUGCGGGGCUCAACCCCGUACCGCCGUUGAAACUGGCGCGCUCGAGUGUGUGCGAGGAUGGCGGAAUGCGCGGUGUAGCGGUGAAAUGCAUAGAUAUCGCGCAGAACCCCGAUUGCGAAGGCAGCUGUCCAGCACGCCACUGACGCUCAUGCACGAAAGCGUGGGUAUCGAACAGGAUUAGAUACCCUGGUAGUCCACGCGGUAAACGAUGAUAACUAGUUAUUCGGCCAGAUUGGUGGCUGAGUGACCGAGCGAAAGCGUUAAGUUAUCCACCUGGGGAGUACGCCGGCAACGGUGAAACUCAAAGGAAUUGACGGGGGCCCGCACAAGCGGAGGAACAUGUGGUUUAAUUCGAUGAUACGCGAGGAACCUUACCCGGGCUCAAACGCAUCGUGCUACGCCCUGAAAGGGGCGGUUCUACGGACGCGAUGCGAGGUGCUGCAUGGUUGUCGUCAGCUCGUGCCGUGAGGUGUCGGCUUAAGUGCCAUAACGAGCGCAACCCCCAUCUUCAGUUGCCCCCGGGUUAAGCCGGGCACUCUGGAGAGACUGCCGGCGCAAGCUGUGAGGAAGGCGGGGAUGACGUCAAAUCAGCACGGCCCUUACGUCCGGGGCGACACACGUGUUACAAUGGCGGGGUCACAGAGGGAAGCCAGCCGGCGACGGCGAGCUGAUCCCGAAAACCCGUCUCAGUUCGGAUCGGAGUCUGCAACCCGACUCCGUGAAGCUGGAUUCGCUAGUAAUCGCGCAUCAGCCAUGGCGCGGUGAAUACGUUCCCGGGCCUUGUACACACCGCCCGU